rnacentral:rRNA from 1 species
UACGAAGGGGGCUAGCGUUGUUCGGAAUUACUGGGCGUAAAGCGCGCGCAGGCGGUCUUCCAAGUCAGUGGUGAAAGCCCGGAGCUCAACUCCGGAAUUGCCGUUGAAACUGUAAGACUUGAGGAUGAGAGAGGUGAGUGGAAUUCCCAGUGUAGAGGUGAAAUUCGUAGAUAUUGGGAAGAACACCGGUGGCGAAGGCGGCUCACUGGCUCAUUUCUGACGCUCAGGCGCGACAGCGUGGGGAUCAAACAGG